rnacentral:snRNA from 1 species
AUACUUACCUGCCCGGGGAGAUACCGUGAUCAUGAAGGUGGUUUUCCCAGGACGAGGCUGGUCCAUCGCACUCCAGAUGUGCUGACCCCUGCGACCUCCCCAACUGCAGAAACCUCCACUGCGUAAUUUGGGAUAGUGGGGGAGGAAAAAAAAAAUGAUUGUCAGGUGUCAGAACACAGACCCUCC